UACGUGGGCAGCAAGCGUUGUUCGGAAUUACUGGGCGUAAAGAGUGUGUAGGCGGUGCUCCAAGUCUGGUGUGAAAUCUCCCGGCUUAACUGGGAGGGUGCAUUAGAAACUGGAAUGCUAGAGGAUGGGAGAGGUAAGCGGAAUUCCUGGUGUAGCGGUGAAAUGCGUAGAUAUCAGGAGGAACACCUGUGGUGUAGACAGCUUACUGGACCAUUUCUGACGCUGAGACACGAAAGCGUGGGUAGCAAACAGG
rnacentral:rRNA from 1 species